rnacentral:rRNA from 1 species
GACGAACGCUGGCGGCGUGCUUAACACAUGCAAGUCGAACGGAAAGGCCCUGCUUUUGUGGGGUGCUCGAGUGGCGAACGGGUGAGUAACACGUGAGUAACCUGCCCUUGACUUUGGGAUAACUUCAGGAAACUGGGGCUAAUACCGGAUAGGAGCUCCUGCUCCAUGGUGGGGGUUGGAAAGUUUCGGCGGUUGGGGAUGGACUCGCGGCUUAUCAGCUUGUUGGUGGGGUAGUGGCUUACCAAGGCUUUGACGGGUAGCCGGCCUGAGAGGGUGACCGGCCACAUUGGGACUGAGAUACGGCCCAGACUCCUACGGGAGGCAGCAGUGGGGAAUAUGGCACAAUGGGCGGAAGCCUGAUGCAGCAACGCCGCGUGCGGGAUGACGGCCUUCGGGUUGUAAACCGCUUUCGCCUGUGACGAAGCGUGAGUGACGGUAAUGGGUAAAGAAGCACCGGCUAACUACGUG